GAUGAACGCUGGCGGCGUGCCUAAUACAUGCAAGUCGAGCGAGCAGACGAGGAGCUUGCUCCUCUGACGUUAGCGGCGGACAGGUGAGUAACACGUGGAUAACCUACCUAUAAGACUGGGAUAACUUCGGGAAACCGGAGCUAAUACCGGAUAAUAUAUUGAACCGCAUGGUUCAAUAGUGAAAGACGGUUUUGCUGUCACUUAUAGAUGGAUCCGCGCCGCAUUAGCUAGUUGGUAAGGUAACGGCUUACCAAGGCAACGAUGCGUAGCCGACCUGAGAGGGUGAUCGGCCACACUGGAACUGAGACACGGUCCAGACUCCUACGGGAGGCAGCAGUAGGGAAUCUUCCGCAAUGGGCGAAAGCUUGACGGAGCAACGCCGCGUGAGUGAUGAAGGUCUUCGGAUCGUAAAACUCUGUUAUUAGGGAAGAACAAAUGUGUAAGUAACUAUGCACGUCUUGACGGUACCUAAUCAGAAAGCCACGGCUAACUACGUG
rnacentral:rRNA from 1 species